rnacentral:rRNA from 1 species
UACGAAGGGGGCUAGCGUUGUUCGGAAUUACUGGGCGUAAAGCGCGCGCAGGCGGUUUUUCAAGUCAGAUGUGAAAGCCCCGGGCUCAACCUGGGAAUUGCAUUUGAGACUGCGUAGCUAGGGUGCGGAAGAGGGAAGCGGAAUUUCCGGUGUAGCGGUGAAAUGCGUAGAUAUCGGAAGGAACACCAGUGGCGAAAGCGGCUUCCUGGUCCAGCACCGACGUUCAGGCACGAAAGCGUGGGGAGCAAACAGG